rnacentral:lncRNA from 1 species
GAAAACGGAAAAUAAAAACAGCAGACCUAUGAAGGUCGAAGGGGAAGAAAAGCUGUAUCGAUUGUUGAGAUCUGGCGACUUGUUUAAAUUUCAUCAGCCUCACUUCUAUGAACUCUCAGGCCUCACGUGUACCAGCUCUCUGCUCUCCUUUGCCUUGGGACGUUCCAUCCCUGGAAGUUUCCCUGCCCACAUCUUUGUAGAGAGUCCAUUCUCCAAGCUUCAGUGUGUCAUCUGUGAGGACCGUGACCCACCUGGUACAUCGCCUCAGGGCAUUCAUUUCAGGCUCCUUCUAAAUGGCCAAGUUUUCAAGAUUGUUUUGGCUCUAGCAAAACAAGUUGGAACAUUCACAUCAUCCAGCCAUGAGAGAAGCAGUACCUUAUAAUGGUUCCUUGUUCAAAGCACUCAAUAUUCCUAGGAUGUGGUCUCCCAGCUGACUUCAUAACUGAAUCAUCAGUAAUUAAUUUCAUUGUUCUAUUAGGACUUUACUGAAGACUCUAAGGAGGACCUGUAUCUGUUGGGAUCCUCAGGGCAAGCCACAGAAACAAGCUUUGGAUACUAGAAGCAGAAAAUGGAGAUAUUGAAGACUAUUGUGGAGUUUACUGUGAGCCAGAGAACCAGGCUGGGGGGCUGUAUCACUUAGAAUGAGAUCCAAACUCACACCAUAGUUCCAUCCUUGAGGUUGCCAUGUUGCUGCCACCCCUCCUGCCACCCCACCACUGAAGCUUUGGAUGCUGGAUUCUGGGCACAGCAGGGAGAAGUGUUGCUUAUUACCAUUUUAGUAUGUUUUCUUUCAAGACCUUUUCAAAAUAUACAUACGUAUUUUUAUUUCUAUUCAAAAUGGGAUACAUUUUUGAAGGUUAGCAAUAUAUUGUGAACAUUUUCUUUCCAUGCUCAGAAACAUUUUUCUAUAAUGUAAUUUAUAGUGAUAUAAACUAUCUCAUAGACCUA